rnacentral:rRNA from 1 species
GGAAAAACUGCAAAGCUAGGAAGUGGGAGAGGUAGACGGUACUCGGUAGGAAGGGGUAAAAUCCUUUGAUCUAUUGAUGACCACCAGUGGCGAAGGCGGUCUACCAGAACACGUUCGACGGUGAGGGAUGAAAGCUGGGGGAGCAAACCGGAUUAGAUACCCGGGUAGUCCCAGCUGUAAACGAUGCAGACUCGGUGAUGCUCUGGCUUGUGGCCAGUGCAGUGCCGCAGGGAAGCCGUUAAGUUUGCCGCCUGGGAAGUACGUACGCAAGUAUGAAACUUAAAGGAAUUGGCGGGGGAGCACCACAAGGGGUGAAGCCUGCGGUUCAAUUGGAGUCAACGCCAGAAAUCUUACCCGGAGAGACAGCAGAAUGAAGGUCAAGCCGAAGACUUUACCAGACAAGCUGAGAGGUGGUGCAUGGCCGUCGCCAGCUCGUGCCGUGAGAUGUCCUGUUAAGUCAGGUAACGAGCGAGAUCCCUGCCUCUAGUUGCCACCAUUACUCUCAGGAGUAGUGGGGCGAAUUAGCGGGACCGCAGCAGUUAAUGCGGAGGAAGGAAGGGGCCACGGCAGGUCAGUAUGCCCCGAAACUCUGGGGCCACACGCGGGCUGCAAUGGUAGUGACAAUGGGUUCCUAAACCGAAAGGUGGAGGUAAUCCUCAAACGCUACCACAGUUAUGAUUGAGGGCUGCAACUCGCCCUCAUGAAUAUGGAAUCCCUAGUAACUGCGUGUCAUUAUCGCGCGGUGAAUACGUCCCUGCUCCUUGCACUCACCGCCCGU